GUAAACUGUGAGUCAGACACAACUAAAAUGAAUGAACAACAAUAAAUUCUUAUUCCAUUCCAUUCCAGAUGUGAGACUGGAAGUUAUGAGAGAGGUGGCUCGAAAUUAGACCUUUGCGGGGUCCUGGUGGUCACUUGCUUCCUAGUUCUGUUGUGGACAGAGCCAGUCUGACCCUGUGACAUUCUCCCCUUCUCUGUCUUCCCCAAGGAAUUCCAGGCCUCAAAUGCUGUGGUGGAGAUGGAGGGCACGAAGCUCCAUUCAAGGCACUCAAUUUCCUGAAGUCAGAUGGAGGCCUGUGAGCUUUCUCCUCACUCAUUCCUACAUAGGCAAGGUGCCCCAAUUCUUGCCUCUGUCCCAGAUCUCAGGGCUGCUACUGCCUGCAGUCUGCCCCAUUCACAGUCUCCUUGGUGAGUGGGUGUGGUAGCCUUGCCUCAGUCUCUGAGCAUCACUGACUUGUUGCAGUUCCACCGCCCCUUCUGUUCUCCAGGAUGGAGAAGGCUGCAGCAGAGAGAAAAACUGUCUGGGACCCAGGUGGGGGUGGGCCUCCAGCUGAGGAAAGGUCCAGUGGGCAUAGCUCAUACAUAGAUGGCCUUGAUUGUAGCCCAGUCAGCCAUCCUGCCAGCCUUUCCUGAGGUGACUGGGAGGUCAGCACUGUUGUAGGCACCAGGGAGCUGGCAAUUACUUCAAGGGCAGGCUGGGAGAAAAGCUUUACAGCCACCUAGGAGCAGAGAUCAUUCAGAAUCAUCAAAGGAUCUCAGAAACCUUGCGGCCAGGGGCUCUUCCCCAUUUUUUGGUGUCCCAGGCCCCUUUGGCAAUCUGGGGAAGCCUUUUGGCUCCUUGGCAGAAUCAAGUUUUUAAAUGCAUAGAAUGAAACAGAACAUUGCAAAGGAAAUGGACUGCAGUGCAACUUUCCAUCUUGGCACUGAGAUUUUCACAAGAGCUUUGUCCGAGGCUAAUCCCCUCAUGGGACAGAAACCCUGUGAAGAAAGGAGCGCCUGCUGCUGGCCCUUCAGAAGAGCGGUGCCCCCUGGACCCAGCAGAGAUGUCGAUCCUCAAGGCUGGGAUGUUGCUGGAUAGCUCUCUUUCCUUGUUAGGACCGAGGUGGCCCAAUGGGCAGAUCAGGAGCACUUGACUCUUUUUAGCUGUGGGACCCGGGGCAGACCUUCACUUCUGAUUGCCUCUGCUUCCCCAUCAAUGGAGAUCAUAGCUCCUACCUCUUAGUAGGGGAGGCCCAAAGGAGAUCAUAUUUAUACAGUGUUGAGCAAACCAUUAAGCACAUGACUGGCUGUAAUUGUUCUAAGGCUCUAUGUGCUUCGAAAAGCACCGGAGUUUUCAGGAAGGGAGGGUGGCUGUGAGUCUUCCUGUCUGAGUCUGCCAGGAACUUCGACUCACAGUCCCAUGCUCAGAGUUGGCAGACCCCAUUUAGUCUGACCCAUUGAAGAGGCCCCUGUACAGCAAAGGGUCACUCAGCCUCUGCUUGAAGACCCCCAGGGACAGGGAGCUCACCCCCUUCCAAGGCAUCUCCUCCCACUGUGGGGUCACUCUGGUGACUCAGAAGGUUGUCCUCUCAUGCAUGUUGCAUGCCAAUUACUCUGCAUCCACUGUUGGGGAUGUUUCCUCUUUUUCCUCUCAAGGAGAAAGAUCUUUAGAUUAAUCGACCAGGAAGGACAGACAAAAUCUGAUCAGCAGGAAGUUCUUGAGGUUAAACAUCUGGUUCAGGCCAGCUCCAUCCUGGGACCCUCCAAGAACCAGGGACAGGGCUGUUUUGUAGUGGGAAGGCUGUGGGGACUGGCAGAGACACUGCAGGCAAGAGAGGGGCGCACACGGAAGAUGCCAGAAAGCCCGGGCCAGUAGUUUGGCUUCAGUUCAGUCAGGGUUCUAAUAGGUUGAUUGGAUGUUGUCCUUCCCUUUUGAAGAGGAUCAAAAUGGUGUCCAGCUGUGGCUGCUCAGACCAAUAGGAGCUCAAGAGGCUCUGCCAUAGCUCGGACACACGUAGUGCACAUGAACAUUUGGGUGUGUGAGAAAAUAAUGGGAUUUGGCAGAUGCCCAAAGGCCCCACCUGGAGAUAGAUUUGGAAUUGAUUGAACUGGGUGAGACUGACUGAUGGACUGACCGAGAACCUACUUAAGAUUGAUUCAAUUGAGACCACAUCUGGCCAGCCCUGAGUGGGGUGUUGUUCUCAGAGGCAGUGGACUACGACAUCAACUCAAGACCACCCUCAACCAAUCAGUUGGAAGGACCUCCCCUCCUGGGGGAGGGGUACAGGAAAUAGGAGCCUUUACCAGUUCAAUAAUUUACCAUCUGUGUGGUAGCUGGCCUUGAUGUCACAUUCAUCCUCACUGAAGGCAUCUGACAACAUUGCUGAAAACACCACACCACAAAGCGUGAAAGCAAGCACAUAACCUUGCAUCAUUCCACUGGUGACUGGGAAAGCAUGAGAGCAUUGUCUAUUAUCUAGAACCCGGCAAGUAUGUUGUCAUGAAAUUGGCAUACAAUAUCGAUGAACUCAACAUGACUAAGGCAGAAAAAUGUUUAAUGUGAUUGUACAUAUAGAACCCAUAUCAUUUUGCUUUCUGUCUUGGGGAGGGGGGAGGGAAGGGAGAGAGGGAGAAAAAUUUGGAACUAAAAAUCUCAUGGAAACAAAUGUAACUUACAUGUAACUGGUAUGGUAAAAUAAUGGAAUUUGGCAGACACCCAGGGGUCUGACUUGAUUGACUUAGUAGUGUUUGAAUUGGGUGUGAAUGGGAAACUACUAAGUACCCACUUAAAGGUGAUUAGAUUUUAGCCACACCUGGCAUGCCCUGUUAGACCUAGCUUAAUUUGGCCAACCCUGAGAAGGAGUGUCCUCAGAGGCUGUGGACUUCAUCAUCAACAGGGAACCAGUCUCAGCCACACUACUCCCUCUUUGGGGGAGGGAGAAAAAGGUAGAAAAAAGGACCCCAACAGGAAGUGACACAUACACUCGGUCUCUCUCUGGCCUUGGAAGAGCAUUUGGAGUGGAUUACAAGCUGAACAGCUGACUCCCAUAGAAAUUAUGGACCCCUGGUGUCUAUAAAAUGCAAGUGUUUGCUGCAAGGGUGCAUCCAUGAAGUUUUCUUGUGCUCAGGAAAACAGAAGAGUGUUGGUGAUGAGAAGGUCAUGACAUUCACAAGUCUUCGGUAGUAAGUGACCACUGCUGUUGCUGUUUCCAGUUCCAUUCUUCCCAAAGACUUCCUGCCGUGUCUGACAGUCUGAGCCUACUCUGGCAUUAAAGUCACCCAGAAUUAUGAGCUUGUCCUCUUUUGGCACACUGGCGAUGAGGAUCUCCGGGUCUUCAUAACAUUUUUCUUUGACUUCAUCAGGGUUCGUCAUGGUAGGAGCAGAGACACUGAUGAUGGUGGCAUGGUGCUGUCCUGCAAAUGGCAAUCACAUUAUCAUGAGCCUGUCAUUCACUCUUGUUGGUAGCCAUAAAAACUUGUUGACUAGACUAGUCUUGAUCGCAAAACCUACUUGAGAUCGAUGGUGUUCCCUUUUACUGUGGCCACUCCAGAAGAAUGUGUAUCCCGCUCUGACUUAGGUGAGCUGACUUUCUUUUGCCAGCCUUGUUUCACUCAGGGCUGCUUUUUGGAUGCAAUACCUGAGGAGUUCUCUUGCCACAAGAGCUGUUCGUCUUUCAGGACUUUGUGGAUCUUGUGUUGUCUAUAAGUGUUAUGAAUGAUGUCUUGAUUAGUGCAUGCAUUGGAUUUGAGUGAGGCAGAGCUACACAAAGUCAUCGGCCUCACGCUCCCUUCCAGGCAUCAGAGUCCAGUGUGAGGACAAAAGUCAGGACUGGCAAUGGCCUUGAUGUCUUCAAUGGCUGACCAAACUCUAAGUCUUGCCCCAGCACCUGCUUCAGCUGUUUCAUGGCCGUUGGAACAAAUUGUUCUCAUCUGCCCGUUCUGCUGGGGGAAGUCUUCCCAUGCUUGGGAUAGAUGUCCCCUAAGUCAGCCAAGGGUUUAAGACCCCUCAGUAAAUCAAAGGAAGGCCCAUCCAUUGGGGAAUGGCUAAACAAGCUGUGGUAUAUGAUGGUGAUGGAACAUUAUUGUGCUAUAAGAAAGGGCAAGCAGGAUGACUUCAGAAAGGUCUGGGAAGACAUGU